GAUGAACGCUAGCGCCAGUUUUAACACAUGCAAGUCGAGGGGCAGCAUUAUAUGUAGCCAUACAAAUAGAUGGCGACCGGCGCACGGGUGAGUAACGCGUAUGCAACCUACCUAUCAGAGGGGGAUAACCCGGCGAAAGUCGGACUAAUACCGCAUAAAACAGGGGUCCCGCAUGGGAAUAUUUGUUAAAGAUUAAUUGCUGAUAGAUGGGCAUGCGUUCCAUUAGAUAGUUGGUGAGGUAACGGCUCACCAAGUCUGCGAUGGAUAGGGGUUCUGAGAGGAAGGUCCCCCACACUGGUACUGAGACACGGACCAGACUCCUACGGGAGGCAGCAGUGAGGAAUAUUGGUCAAUGGGCGAGAGCCUGAACCAGCCAAGUCGCGUGAAGGAUGAAGGAUCUAUGGUUCGUAAACUUCUUUUAUAAGGGAAUAAAGUGCGGGACGUGUCCUGUUUUGUAUGUACCUUAUGAAUAAGGAUCGGCUAACUCCGUGCCAGCAGCCGCGGUAAUACGGAGGAUCCGAGCGUUAUCCGGAUUUAUUGGGUUUAAAGGGUGCGUAGGUGGCUUUUUAAGUCAGCGGUGAAAGUUUGUGGCUCAACCAUAAAAUUGCCGUUGAAACUGGGGGGCUUGAGUAUAUUUGAGGUAGGCGGAAUGCGUGGUGUAGCGGUGAAAUGCAUAGAUAUCACGCAGAACUCCAAUUGCGAAGGCAGCUUACUAAACUAUAACUGACACUGAAGCACGAAAGCGUGGGGAUCAAACAGG
rnacentral:rRNA from 1 species